GGUCCCACAACCCAAUAUCCAAUAAUGAAUCACGUUGAUUUCUCCGGUCUCCACGAUCCAACACCGACACCUCGCUCGCAUGGCCGCAUCCGCCCACCCCCGAACACAUCGGGAUUUCUCCCCCACACCUCACCCGCGUCCGCCCGCAACCCACCGAGCACAUCGGCGCCGGAGCUCCCCCCUCUCAUCCGCCGAAUCGGCACCGUGGGCGCAGCGCCACCCCACUUGGCGUAGCCCUCUCCCUGUCGCAGCGGCGGCUCCUCCACCUUCCCGACGAGGCGGCGGCUCCUUCACCUUCCUGGCGGCGUCGGUGGCCAGCCCUCCGCCUCCCCGCCCUGAUCUGCGUCCCCACGGGCGCGGCGGCACGACCAACCGGCGGGCACGGCGGCCCCUUGCUGUGCGUGGCUUCCCAUCCCCAACCAGUGGUGGAUGGGGCUUGAGGCGACGGUGUGGCUCGCCCUGCGCCCCACAGCUCCUUCCCCGGUGACGGCGGAGCGUCGUUCUCUCUUCCGGUGCCAUUCUCGAGUUCAUGUUCUACUCAUGUUUUCUGAAAAUCAACCUUACCAGAUUACACUUUUUUGGUUCGUAUUCAGAUUCAGGAACCUGUUAGUUGUUUCAGUGUGCAUGGUUUUAGCAAUUUUAUUAAUAGUCUCAGAACCAAUAUUCUAAAUGAUACCGUAUUUUAGAUCAAGCACAAUACAUGCUGCUGUUCAUGCUACUUAAUUCUUGUAACUUUGUUUGUCGUAAAUCAGAGAGGUAUUUACGAUAUUUUUUUACCUGAAUCAGAGUCACGAAUUUAGGAAGACUAUCGAUUUCUUAUGGUAAUUUCUUGAUUAACUAUUCAUCAGUCACUUAGUUAAUUCCAUUUGUCUGAUUAGCCAUCUGGGUUUUGGUAGCUGUUUGUGACUCCCGAAGGUUGAAAUAUUGUUUAUUAUUACAGAUCUAUUGGCCACAUUAGCUAGAGUGUGAAGGUUUGUAGAUCCUAUUGAUUUUAGGUUGUGUUAGCUGGCUGUUUUUUUAAACCAAAAUUUAUUGAAUGUCAGAUCCUUUGAUUUUGUAUUCUUUAUGAACAGAGUACAAAGGUAGUAGUAUAGUUAGAAUAGAUUAUAGUGAUUCAUAUAUAAAGGACAUAAAUAUAUUGUAAUAUAUCGAUAUCAUCUGAGAAAUUUUUUUGGCUAGUCCCUAACUAAAUUAUUGAUUCAAAUUACUGUAAUUACUUAACAGCCUAUUGUACUCCUGAUUUGAGUAGCAUCAGAAUACCAUGACCCUAAAUUCUGGUAGCUCCCUAUCUUCAUUAUGGUAAUUUUGAUCAUCCUUAUUAAUUUUUAUCGUCAACCAUAGUCGAAAAUUUACGUAAAUACUUAUAUUCAUAAUACCCAUUUGGUACCAGUGUAAGUUAUGUCGUGAAUACCUCAAAGGCUCGAUCCGCACUGCUCCAAGCUUCCGACGAACAGUUUGUGAAGAAAAACUUAUGCAGCCUAUCCAGGUGAGAAAGGCAUUUGAACAAAUAUUAGGCUAUGUCUGCUUGACUUCAUUAUAUUUGAGGACAACUAUUAAUAUGUGUUCUGCAUCAACUUCAAUUUGACCACCGGCCAUUGGUCAUGCAUCUGGGGAUGCUUAUGCCGCUGCAAAAUAGGCAUCCAGAUCCAGUAGGGAUGCUUAUGCUGGCGCACAGGAUUUUGAUUCGUGUCAUGGUUCAAAAUAUAUGGGGACAGUGUCUUGUAUGAUUUACACUUCUAUUUUGUUAUGAUGGAAAAAUGUAUCAAUGUACAUGUCUUUGGAAAGACAUAUUAUGGUUGUUUCAAAAUUUUCUUUAAACAGAUUUCAAAUUGU